rnacentral:rRNA from 1 species
GGCCUAAAACAUGCAAGUCGAACGCUUGUAGCAAUACAAGAGUGGCGCACGGGUGCGUAACAUGUGGGAAUAUGCCUUUUGGUACGGAACAACUCCGGGAAACUGGAGCUAAUACCGUAUGGUCCCUUCGGGGUAAAGAUUUAUCGCCAAAAGAUUAGCCCGCACUGGAUUAGCUAGUUGGUGAGGUAAUGGCUCACCAAGGCGACGAUCCAUAGCUGGUCUGAGAGGACGAUCAGCCACACUGGGACUGAGACACGGCCCAGACUCCUACGGGAGGCAGCAGUUAGGAAUAUUGGACAAUGGGCGCAAGCCUGAUCCAGCCAUGCCGCGUGAGCGAUGAAGGCCUUCGGGUUGUAAAGCUC